rnacentral:rRNA from 1 species
ACUCAAAUGAAUUGACGGGGGCCCGCACAAGCAGCGGAGCGUGUGGUUUAAUUCGAUGCAACGCGCAGAACCUUACCUCGGCUUGACAUGCACGUGGUACCAACCUGUAAGGGGAGGGACCCGCGAGGGAGCGUGCACAGAUGCUGCAUGGCUGUCGUCAGCUCGUGCCGUGAGGUGUUGGGUUAAGUCCCGCAACGAGCGCAACCCUUGUCCUUAGUUGAAUUCUCUAGGGAGACCGCCGGUCUAAACCGGAGGAAGGUGGGGAUGACGUCAAGUCAGCACGGCUCUUACGUCGAGGGCUACACACACGCUACAAUGGCCGGUACAACGGGUUGCCAAGGGGUGACCUGGAGCUAAUCCCACCAAAGCCGGUCUCAGUUCGGAUCGCAGGCUGCAACUCGCCUGCGUGAAGUCGGAGUUGCUAGUAACUGCCGGUCAGCACACGGCGGUGAAUACGUUCCCGGGCCUUGUACACACCGCCCGU